rnacentral:rRNA from 1 species
AUGCUGGAGGUAUCAGAAGUGCGAAUGCUGACGUGAGUAACGACAAAACGGGUGAAAAACCCGUUCGCCGAAAGACCAAGGGUUCCAGUCCAACGUUAAUCGGGGCUGGGUGAGUCGACCCCUAAGGCGAGGCCGAAAGGCGUAGUCGAUGGGAAAAUGGUUAAUAUUCCAUUACUUCUGUGUAAUGCGAUGAGAGGACGGAGAAGGCUAAAUCAGCCUGGCGUUGGUUGUCCAGGUGAAAGGAUGUAGGCAUGUAUCUUAGGCAAAUCCGGGGUACUCUAUGCUGAGAUCUGAUAGCAAGCUGUACUUGUACAGCGAAGUGGUUGAUGCCAUGCUUCCAGGAAAAGUCUCUAAGCUUCAGUUACACAGGAAUCGUACCCGAAACCGACACAGGUGGUCAGGUCGAGUAGACCAAGGCGCUUGAGAGAACUCUGCUGAAGGAACUAGGCAAAAUGGUACCGUAACUUCGGGAGAAGGUACGCUGUUGUUGGUGAUGGAACUCGCUUCCUGAGCUGACGACAGCCGCAGAAACCAGGCCGCUGCAACUGUUUAUUAAAAACAUAGCACUCUGCAAACACGAAAGUGGACGUAUAGGGUGUGAUGCCUGCCCGGUGCUGGAAGGUUAAUUGAUGGGGUAGCGUAAGCGAAGCUCUUGAUCGAAGCCCCAGUAAACGGCGGCCGUAACUAUAACGGUCCUAAGGUAGCGAAAUUCCUUGUCGGGUAAGUUCCGACCUGCACGAAUGGCAUAAUGAUGGCGGCGCUGUCUCCAGCAGAGGCUCAGUGAAAUCGAAAUCGCUGUGAAGAUGCAGUGUACCCGCGGCUAGACGGAAAGACCCCGUGAACCUUUACUGCAGCUUGACACUGAACUUUGACCUUACUUGUGUAG